rnacentral:lncRNA from 1 species
UAAAAUAAUAAUAUUGUUUUCAUUAUGUUAUCUUAUUUGUAUCUCUGUAUAUAUGUGAUAUUUUAAUUGUGUAUAUAUAUUUUUAUCUUGAGUUAGCGCUAUUUCUUCUGUCUUGUCGCUGAACUGUUGUGUUUCCCUCUGGGAUUAAUAGUGAUUAAAAGUGAUCUAUGAUCUAUCUAUGUACCUAAAAUAAACGUCCCCAAAAAAUAUCAAUACAAGCUCAAGCACACAGACACACUUGGCUCUGCACCUGUCAGUAUCAGUAUGAACUGCCGACCAAUCACAGCACAGUGGGCGGGAUCUGUCUGAAUACGGGUGGGAUAAAGAGAGCGCCUGAUGAUUAGAGAUGAAUCCAGGUAAAUGGAAACUUAUUUGUGCUGGGGAAUCCUCGGCCGGGCGUGGGCGGUAGAAACUCCCCUGUUGGGUAACAUGUCUAAACCUGUUCCUCCUGGCUUAUAUAAAGCCAGACUGCGGCUGAUUCAGACCACAAGACCUAGACCGGAUCUCUGUACCUCCAGACCCCAAAAACCGCAACGGCUGCUUUCAGUAGAGCUGCUAUCACAGCUGAGCGGAGACGAGCAGAGGAGAGCAGAGCAUCAUGGACAGGCUUCAUUCAGACAGCUUCUCGACAUCAAUAAGAAAUGGGCUGAACGAUACAGAACACUGAGACAGCAUGUCAAAAGCUACGAGCUGAGGAAAGAAGAGAAGGAGAAAGACACUAAACAGACUGGACAGGAGGCUGAGCUGAGGGCCCGCCUUCAGGAUGCAGACAGAGAGAUAGCAUGGCUGAGGAUGCACUGUGACACUCUGACCAGAGGAGGGCAACAGCUAAAUGAAGAAAUCAUGAGACUGAAUACGGUCCUGCAGAAGAGCCUGGCAGUUCAACACAAGAGAAACCAGAGAGAGGAAAAUGUUUGGAAACAUCAGGCUCAGGUGUAUAAGGAGGACUUCUUUAAAGAGAGGAAGGAUAGAGAAAUGCUAAUGGCCAAAUACACAGACUUGGAGGAAAAGUUCAAGAAAGUCCAUGAUGAGUUACGUGCUUACAAAUUACAAGCUCGGUGGGCUCAGUUAGGCCCCUCGACAAGCCCCCCAGCACACACAUAACCCAUGUGAUGCAUCAGCGGAGUCCCAUUCAGCUACAGCAUAAAAAACGACUCAAAGCUGACCUUAUUAAGAGCUUACCCUAAGCUGUGCUGCUCCCUUUAUAUAUACCUUUAUUUGUCUGACUGUGUGAUGCUUAUUGUUAGUGUAUUAAGCGUGUUCUAUUAUUUAAAUGGAAUAAUUUAUCUGUAAAUAAAGUUAGUUAUAU